AGGAUGAAACAAUGAAACCUGAGCAUUCAAGCAGCCUGAACAGUUCAAUUUUGGAAGUGAUUAACUGCUAAUUUUUAAUAAUGAAAGUUUUCUUUAAUAUGGAGAGAGAUAAGUGGGAGCACCAGUAAUCAUGGAGAUGUUUGUAGGACAGGAAAGAUCAUAUGUGUUUGAGUGCAAACGGCUGCAGAGCCAUAUUGAUAUGGAUGGCCAGCCUUGUUGAUGUAUUUGAGCCAUGUUCCUGUUCAUAAUCAUUCCCUCAGAGUGCAAAAUGCGGAAGACACAGGCAGGUAGCGAGUGACAAGCAUGGAAUA